GAUGAACGCUGGCGGCGCGCCUAAUACAUGCAAGUCGAGCGAACAGACGAGGAGCUUGCUCCUCUGACGUUAGCGGCGGACGGGUGAGUAACACGUGGAUAACCUACCUAUAAGACUGGGAUAACUUCGGGAAACCGGAGCUAAUACCGGAUAAUAUAUUGAACCGCAUGGUUCAAUAGUGAAAGACGGUUUUGCUGUCACUUAUAGAUGGAUCCGCGCCGCAUUAGCUAGUUGGUAAGGUAACGGCUUACCAAGGCACGAUGCGUAGCCGACCUGAGAGGGUGAUCGGCCACACUGGAACUGAGACACGGUCCAGACUCCUACGGGAGGCAGCAGUAGGGAAUCUUCCGCAAUGGGCGAAAGCUUGACGGAGCAACGCCGCGUGAGUGAUGAAGGUCUUCGGAUCGUAAAACUCUGUUAUUAGGGAAGAACAAAUGUGUAAGUAACUAUGCACGUCUUGACGGUACCUAAUCAGAAAGCCACGGCUAACUACGUG
rnacentral:rRNA from 1 species